rnacentral:rRNA from 1 species
AUGGACGGGAAUAACCUCGGGAAACUGAGAAUAAUGCCCGAUAGAACAUUAUACCUGGAACGGUUUAUGUUUCAAAUGAUUUAUCGCCGUAGGAUGGGACUGCGGCCUAUCAGUUUGUUGGUGAGGUAAUGGCCCACCAAGACUAUUACAGGUACGGGCUCUGAGAGGAGUAGCCCGGAGAUGGGUACUGAGACACGGACCCAGGCCCUAUGGGGCGCAGCAGGCGAGAAAACUUUGCAAUGUGCGAAAGCACGACAAGGUUAAUCCGAGUGGUUUCUGCUAAAGAAACCUUUUGCUAGUCCUAGAAACACUAGUGAAUAAGGGGUGGGCAAGUUCUGGUGUCAGCCGCCGCGGUAAAACCAGCACCUCAAGUGGUCAGGAUGAUUAUUGGGCCUAAAGCAUCCGUAGCUCGUUUUGUAAGUUUUCGGUUAAAUCCAUACGCUCAACGUAUGGGCUGCCGGGAAUACUGCAUAACUAGGAAGUGGGAGAGGUAGACGGUACUCGGUAGGAAGGGGUAAAAUCCUUUGACCUAUUGAUGACCACCUGUGGCGAAGGCGGUCUACCAGAACACGUUCGACGGUGAGGGAUGAAAGCUGGGGGAGCAAACCGGAUUAGAUACCCGGGUAGUCCCAGCUGUAAACUAUGCAAACUCAGUGAUGCAUUGGCUUGUGGCCAAUGCAGUGCUGCAGGGAAGCCGUUAAGUUUGCCGCCUGGGAAGUACGUACGCAAGUAUGAAACUUAAAGGAAUUGG